rnacentral:rRNA from 1 species
GAUGAACGCUGGCGGCGUGCCUAAUACAUGCAAGUCGAGCGAACAGACGAGGAGCUUGCUCCUUUGACGUUAGCGGCGGACGGGUGAGUAACACGUGGGUAACCUACCUAUAAGACUGGGAUAACUUCGGGAAACCGGAGCUAAUACCGGAUAAUAUUUCGAACCGCAUGGUUCGAUAGUGAAAGAUGGCUUUGCUAUCACUUAUAGAUGGACCUGCGCCGUAUUAGCUAGUUGGUAAGGUAACGGCCUACCAAGGCAACGAUACGUAGCCGACCUGAGAGGGUGAUCGGCCACACUGGAACUGAGACACGGUCCAGACUCCUACGGGAGGCAGCAGUAGGGAAUCUUCCGCAAUGGGCGAAAGCCUGACGGAGCAACGCCGCGUGUGUGAUGAAGGUCUUCGGAUCGUAAAACUCUGUUAUUAGGGAAGAACGAACGUGUAAGUAACUGUGCACGUCUUGACGGUACCUAAUCAGAAAGCCACGGCUAACUACGUG